GCAGCCGCGGUAAUACGGAGGAUCCAAGCGUUAUCCGGAUUUAUUGGGUUUAAAGGGUGCGUAGGCGGUUUGAUAAGUUAGAGGUGAAAGCUCGGGGCUCAACUCCGGAACUGCCUCUAAUACUGUUGAACUAGAGAGUAGAUGCGGUAGGCGGAAUGUAUGGUGUAGCGGUGAAAUGCGUAGAGAUCAUACAGAACACCGAUUGCGAAGGCAGCUUACCAAACUAUAUCUGACGUUGAGGCACGAAAGCGUGGGGAGCAAACAGGAUUAGAUACCCC
rnacentral:rRNA from 1 species